UGCUAAAGGUCUUGAUGGAGCAUGAC
rnacentral:piRNA from 1 species